GAUGAACGCUGGCGGCGUGCCUAAUACAUGCAAGUCGAGCGAACAGACGAGGAGCUUGCUCCUCUGACGUUAGCGGCGGACGGGUGAGUAACACGUGGAUAACCUACCUAUAAGACUGGGAUAACUUCGGGAAACCGGAGCUAAUACCGGAUAAUAUAUUGAACCGCAUGGUUCAAUAGUGAAAGACGGUUUUGCUGUCACUUAUAGAUGGAUCCGCGCCGCAUUAGGUAGUUGGUAAGGUAACGGCUUACCAAGGCAACGAUGCGUAGCCGACCUGAGAGGGUGAUCGGCCACACUGGAACGGAGACACGGUCCAGACUCCUACGGGAGGCAGCAGUAGGGAAUCUGCCGCAGUGGGCGAAAGCCUGACGGAGCAACGCCGCGUGAGUGAUGAAGGUCUUCGGAUCGUAAAACUCUGUUAUUAGUGAAGAACAAAUGUGUAAGUAACUAUGCACGUCUUGACGGUACCUAAUCAGAAAGCCACGGCUAACUACGUG
rnacentral:rRNA from 1 species